UAAAGGGUGCGUAGGCGGUUUAUUAAGUCAGUGGUGAAAGACGGUCGCUCAACGAUUGCAGUGCCAUUGAUACUGGUAGACUUGAGUGGGAUUGAGGUAGCUGGAAUGGAUAGUGUAGCGGUGAAAUGCAUAGAUAUUAUCCAGAACACCAAUUGCGUAGGCAAGUUACUAAGUCUCAACUGACGCUGAGGCACGAAAGUGUGGGUAUCAAACAGGAUUAGAACCCGAGU
rnacentral:rRNA from 1 species